rnacentral:SRP_RNA from 1 species
GCUGGGCGAGGUGGCGGGCGCCUGUAGUCCCAGCUACUCGGGAGGCUGAGGCAGGAGAAUGGCGUGAACCUGGGAGGCAGAGCUUGCAGUGAGCCGCUCACUGCAAGCUCUGCCUCCCAGGUUCACGCCAUUCUCCUGCCUCAG